rnacentral:rRNA from 1 species
GACGAACGCUGGCGGCGUGCUUAACACAUGCAAGUCGAACGGAAAGGCCCUGCUUGCCGGGUACUCGAGUGGCGAAAGGGUGUGUAACACGUGUGUGAUCUGCCCUCCACUUCGGGGUAAGCCUGCGGGACUGGGUGUAAUACAGGGUAUGGGCCCUUUUUAGUGUGGUUGUGGGUAAGAUUUUUCGGUCUGGGGUGAGCUCGCUGCCUGUCAGCUUGUUGGUGGGGUAACUGCCUACCUAGGCGGCCGCGGGUAGCCGGCCGGAGAGGGUGGACGGCCACAUUGGGACUGGGAUACGGCCCAGACUCCUACGGGAGGGAGCAGGGGGGAAAAUUGCACAAUGGGCGCAAGCCCGAUUCAGCGACGCCGCGUGGGGGAGGACGGCCUUCGGGUUGUAAACCCCUUUCGCUAGGGACGAAGCUUUGUGUGACGGUACCUAGAGAAGAAGCACCGGCUAACUACGUG